rnacentral:rRNA from 1 species
CCUACGGGGGGCAGCAGUGGGGAAUAUUGGGCAAUGGGCGCAAGCCUGACCCAGCAACGCCGCGUGAAGGAAGAAGGCUUUCGGGUUGUAAACUUCUGUUGUCAGGGACGAAGCAAGUGACGGUACCUGACGAAUAAGCCACGGCUAACUACGGGCCAGCAGCCGCGGUAAUACGUAGGCGGCAAGCGUUAUCCGGAUUUACGGGGUGUAAAGGGCGGGUAGGCGGGGAAGCAAGUCAGAUGUGAAAACCACGGGCUCAACCUGUGGCCUGCAUUUGAAACUGUUUGUCUUGAGUGCUGGAGAGGCCAUCGGAAUUCCGUGUGUAGCGGUGCACUGCGUAGCUAUCCGGAGGAACCCCAGUGGCGAAGGCGGAUUGCUGGACAGUAACUGACGCUGAGGCGCGAAAGCGUGGGGAGCAAACAGGAUUAGAUACCCUGGUAGUC